rnacentral:rRNA from 1 species
UACGUAGGGGUCGAGCGUUGUCCGGAGUUACUGGGCGUAAAGCGUGUGCAGGCGGCUCAUUGCGCCCGGCGUGAAAGCCCCCGGCUCAACCGGGGAGAGUCGUCGGGGACGGGUGAGCUUGAGGGUAUCAGGGGCUGGUGGAAUUCCCGGUGUAGUGGUGAAAUGCGUAGAUAUCGGGAGGAACACCCGUGGCGAAGGCGGCCAGCUGGGAUACACCAGACGCUGAGACACGAAGGCGUGGGGAGCGAACGGG